CCAGACUCCUACGGGAGGCAGCAGUGGGGAAUAUUGGGCAAUGGACGCAAGUCUGACCCAGCAACGCCGCGUGAAGGAAGAAGGCUUUCGGGUUGUAAACUUCUUUUAAGGGGGAAGAGUAGAAGACGGUACCCCUUGAAUAAGCCACGGCUAACUACGUGCCAGCAGCCGCGGUAAUACGGGGGGUGCAAGCGUUGUCCGGAAUCAUUGGGCGUAAAGCGUUCGUAGGCGGUAAAGUAAGUCAGAUGUUAAAGCCCGGGGCUCAACUCCGGUUCGGCAUUUGAUACUACUUGACUAGAAUGCGGUAGAGGUAAAGGGAAUUCCUGGUGUAGCGGUGAAAUGCGUAGAUAUCAGGAGGAACAUCGGUGGCGAAAGCGCUUUACUGGGCCGUUAUUGACGCUGAGGAACGAAAGCCAGGGUAGCAAACGGGAUUAGAUACCCCUGUAU
rnacentral:rRNA from 1 species